AGAGAAGUUUCUACAAAUUCUCAAGGAAGUUAAAGGAAGCGUUUUGAAAUUUGGAGACGGAUAUUGAAUUUCAUAUAGGUGGAAGAAAGAUCAAAUUUACUUGUUUUUGUUGAAAGACGUAGAAUAAAUAAUUACAAUUAUAUCGGUUAUGUUACUAACCGAUGAUCUCUAGAAUAUUUAUGUUUGUAUCAUAAAAGUAGCAGGAACGUAAGGACGACAUCUAGUGGAAAGGCUUUUUGGAAUUUUUAAAUAUUCUUUCUGAGACUGCUUGAAAAUAGCCUGUUAAAUGUUGGACGCGGUUUUGUAAAAUGUUUUGUGAAAUAGUGAUAACAUUUUAUGUAUACCCGAUUCUUAAUAAAAAUUGUUUGAAUCAUUAA